AACCCCAUGAAGCGGAAUGUUGUUUGCUGGAAGUGUGGAGAGCCUGGACACAUGAAGAAGGAUUGUCCAGCAGGUGGAGCAGGUUCGGCUGCAGGUGGAGUAGGCUCCAAGUCAAGUGAUGCUGUUAAUAUGGUCUUUGAUAGGGGCCCAUAUGACCUUAUAUGACCCAAAGACAUGUACAUCCUUAUGGCAUGCCGCUAUUUGCCAUGGUGAAGGAUGUGAGAUUAAUAGCGGAAUUAUACACGGGCAUUGGAUUGGCAGGAAUGCAAGGUGUGUGAUGAAAAGUUAUGUCGAUAGCUGAUGGACUUCCAAGGAGAGCCAAUAGUGGAGGUUGCACCAUAAUAAUCAGCAAGGUGUUUUUUCGACAUGAGUCGAAGUGAAAAUUCUUAGAAUGGUUUAUUCUAAGUGGCGAUACUCUUUAUGGUGAACUAUGACAGGUGUUCAGCAAUGUGGAG
rnacentral:lncRNA from 1 species